GUUAGCUCAGUGGUAGAGCAUACCUCAAAUUCAUGGGUUCAACUCCCAUAC
rnacentral:tRNA from 1 species